rnacentral:misc_RNA from 1 species
GACCCUGGUCUUAUUGUAUAGGAGUUUUUGAAAAAUAAAGGAGCAAUAAGGCCCUCUUAUCUAUCUUAUAUAGAAGAAGAAGGGAAUUAUUGCUCCUUUAUUUUCUUUUUAUUUAUUCUAGUAUUUUAUUAGUACUCGGACUUAAAUAUGGAUGUUUUUUUUUUAAACAAAAGCAAAGAAAAUGUUCGAAACGAAAUUAUUUAAUUUAAAUAUUAAAUAAAUAGAUUUAAAUAUUAAAUAAAUAGAAUAUGAAAUUAAAAAAAAAAUCUAAAAAAUUAGAAUAGAGGGCGGAUGUAGCCAAGUGGAUUAAGGCAGUGGAUUGUGAAUCCACCAUGCGCG